rnacentral:rRNA from 1 species
UGGGGAAUUUUGGACAAUGGGCGAAAGCCUGAUCCAGCAAUGCCGCGUGUGUGAAGAAGGCCUUCGGGUUGUAAAGCACUUUUGUCCGGAAAGAAAUGGCUCUGGUUAAUACCUGGGGUCGAUGACGGUACCGGAAGAAUAAGGACCGGCUAACUACGUGCCAGCAGCCGCGGUAAUACGUAGGGUCCAAGCGUUAAUCGGAAUUACUGGGCGUAAAGCGUGCGCAGGCGGUUGUGCAAGACCGAUGUGAAAUCCCCGAGCUUAACUUGGGAAUUGCAUUGGUGACUGCACGGCUAGAGUGUGUCAGAGGGGGGUAGAAUUCCACGUGUAGCAGUGAAAUGCGUAGAGAUGGGGAGGAAUACCGAUGGCGAAGGCAGCCCCCUGGGAUAACACUGACGCUCAUGCACGAAAGCGUGGGGAGCAAACAGG